rnacentral:rRNA from 1 species
GAUGAACGCUGGCGGCGUGYUUAACACAUGCAAGUCGAACGGGGAACAAAUUAUUGAAGCUUCGGCAGAUYUAGCUUGUUCCUAGUGGCGGACGGGUGAGUAAYGCGUGGGUAACCUSCCUCACACUGGGGGAUAACAGUCAGAAAUGGCUGCUAAUACCGCAUAAGCGCAUAGUACCGCAUGGUACAGUGUGAAAAACUCCGGUGGUGUGAGAUGGACCCGCGUUGGAUUAGCUAGUUGGCAGGGCAGCGGCCUACCAAGGCGACGAUCCAUAGCCGGCCUGAGAGGGUGAACGGCCACAUUGGGACUGAGACACGGCCCAGACUCCUACGGGAGGCAGCAGUGGGGAAUAUUGCACAAUGGGGGAAACCCUGAUGCAGCGACGCCGCGUGAAGGAAGAAGUAUCUCGGUA